rnacentral:rRNA from 1 species
GACGUAGGGCGCGAGCGUUGUCCGGAUUUAUUGGGCGUAAAGAGCUCGUAGGCGGCUUGUCGCGUCGUCCGUGAAAACUUGGGGCUCAACCCCAAGCUUGCGGUCGAUACGGGCAGACUCGAGUUCGGUAGGGGAGACUGGAAUUCCUGGUGUAGCGGUGAAAUGCGCAGAUAUCAGGAGGAACACCGGUGGCGAAGGCGGGUCUCUGGGCCGAUACUGACGCUGAGGAGCGAAAGCGUGGGGAGCGAACAGG